GGCCCGUUAGCUCAGUUGGUUAGAGCGUCGUGCUAAUAACGCGAAGGAAGGUCGCGGGUUCGAUCCCCAUCACGGGCCA